AUUGAAUGCUGGCGGCAGGCCUAACACAUGCAAGUCGAGCGGAUGAAGGGAGCUUGCUCCUGGAUUCAGCGGCGGACGGGUGAGUAAUGCCUAGGAAUCUGCCUGGUAGUGGGGGAUAACGUCCGGAAACGGGCGCUAAUACCGCAUACAUCCUGAGGGAGAAAGUGGGGGAUCUUCGGACCUCACGCUAUCAGAUGAGCCUAGGUCGGAUUAGCUAGUUGGUGGGGUAAAGGCCUACCAAGGCGACGAUCCGUAACUGGUCUGAGAGGAUGAUCAGUCACACUGGAACUGAGACACGGUCCAGACUCCUACGGGAGGCAGCAGUGGGGAAUAUUGGACAAUGGGCGAAAGCCUGAUCCAGCCAUGCCGCGUGUGUGAAGAAGGUCUUCGGAUUGUAAAGCACUUUAAGUUGGGAGGAAGGGCAGUAAGUUAAUACCUUGCUGUUUUGACGUUACCAACAGAAUAAGCACCGGCUAACUUCGUG
rnacentral:rRNA from 1 species